GCUGGGGAAGGGCCGUGGCUCAGUGGUAGAGCAUCUGCCUUGCAGGCAGAAGGUUCUUGGUUCAAUCCCUGGAAACUCCAGUU